UGCAGAGUCAUAGCUCUGCUGGCUUGGCUUGCUGCCACCUCACUGCUCCUUUAAAACCCCAUACCUCCCAUUGAAGGAACUCAGUGUCCUGUUCACCAGGAGGACGUCAAUGUUUCUAUGGAAACUCUUCCCAAAGAUUCUUGCUCCUCGCUGCCACUGCUGCGUAUUGUAUGACUGGCUUUGUACACUGCAAUUCAUUAUCCAGGCUGUGACGAAAAGGGAGCAGCUUUCUGCCCAAGGGGAAAAAGCAUUAAAGGAAAAAAAAAAAAAACCCAAAACACUAACCCCCCCUGCUCCAUCAUCUUAAUAUUAAUAAAAUAAGCCACUAAAACUGAAGGUGCUAAAGUGGUUUGGCAUUUGAGCUAUGAAUGGAAUCUGCUCGCCUGUGCUCCUUGCAGUGAAAAAACCCUUUCCUGAAUAAUUAACUCAGCUGAAGAAGCUUAUAAAUUCUUGGUAAGGUCCUUUUUCCUUCUGAGUAGCGAGAAGAAAAUUUUCCACCCCUCACAAUUACAAUCCUGAUGAUGAAUGAGUGUCACGAAAUAUCUGGGAGCAGUGGAGAAUGUGGUGACAGCAUUUACGUACGUGUCCCUUACUAAUGAUGUCCAAAGGUGACCAGAUUACUCACCCCUCUGCAGAUGAGCUCCAGGCAUUACAUACUGACAGGUGCUGCUCUGAAGGAGCCUGGAACCUGAUUUUCUUGACUUCCACUGUAUCACUGAUGGGCUCCUGGCACCUCAGGCAACCAGAUUUCAGGUGUCCCAAAGCAUGUACUUCAAACCCAAGGUACUCAACUCGUGACACUUGCAGAAAGACAACUCCUUAAGCCAACAGAACUUUGAGAUCUGAAGAAAAACAUUGCACUCAUCUACUAUGCUGGGAACCAGCACUGAGUAAAAAUCUGAGUAAAGACGAGAAUGAGAGGAGACAAGUAUUUUAUUUUUAAACCUUAUGAAUUUCUGAGUAGUUCUGCUUUGUCGCUUUCCUAGAGAGGAAGGCAGGGUUGGGAAGAUCAGAAUUUCAAACCCUGAUACCACACUAAAGACUUGUAUUACCUUUAAUUGAUGUUUCUGAGUGCAUCCUCACUGAUUUACUCCAUUUGCUUUUUGUGCAGGGAACAUUCUAUUCUCAGAGCAUAAUCUAGACCCAUAUGAACAAUAUAGAUGUUUUCUGAUAAUUUAGAAAGAGGAGAUGUAAUUACUGCCUGUGCUGAAUGCACAGCAUCUCUCUGCUUGCCAGAGCACUGCAAACCCAUGACCCCUUUUGGAAUCCAUACAGGGAGAAAAGUCCCAAAUCCUUCAAAUGUGGUUCUCAUUUUGCCAUUUCCACCUUAUUAAAUAUGCUGGUCCUUGUGCCUUUGAUUUUAACUUCCUAAGGAUAGCUCAUUCUGAAAUUAUUUAGAAGGCUCUCAGAGGCUCUUAGAUGAAAUUCAGGGAUCAUUCCUGCGGAAAUGUGUCUGUUUGUGGGACACAGAACAGCAGCAACUUGGGCAUCUGCUGCAGAAAAAUGGGGAGGGGAACCCAGCAAGUUCUCCCUUGGGUAACUUGUUUUUUUAAGAAGUGCAACAAAGCAGGUUCUUGUUGAUAAGGACUUCCCUUAAAUACUUGAAGAGGAGGCUGGAACUCAUCUGACCUGCUCCAAAACCAGUUGGCUUGGCUGUGCAUAGUCCAAUUGCUGUGAUUUAAAAUGAGUACUUGGAGUGCUUUUGUCUCCUAAAUCACCCCACAAGCACUGUGCUUCAUGUCUUCUCUCUAGUGGAAGGAUAUCCAGGGUGAGACAUUGCAAUUCAGAUUUUCAUCUCUAGGGUCAGAUCUGUCUCAGUUCAGUAAAGCACUGCUAUGCAGUGAGGUUUGAUGUGAAAUAAGCACAGGUCCCUCCAUGGUGCAGUCAAUCAAGAUCAACAGCACAGAAAAAUCACCACAGUAAUUGCUCUCUGUAUCUGCUGCCUCAGGAAAAUAUAAAAUAAAAAAAUAAUAAAUAAAAAUCAAUGACUGAUUUGGCCCUGGAGACUGAGUUACUCUCCUCUGAGUUAGAGUGGUCCCUCCUGAAUGUUUUUCCACAUUGCAAAGGCACCACAUAAUGGAACAAUUCAGUGCCACUGCCAGGGCUGGCUAAAACAGCCCUAGAGUGAGAGAGGGAAGGUGCUGUGGGUCACUGCUGAGGUGCACUGAGAACCACACCAAGAGUUUUUCAGACUGCUUCAGAGACACCAGACUUGGCUUGCAAGCCUGCUGCAAUGGUUCAGAGAGAAGCUGCUUUGUAUUUUGAAUCAUGCAAUCCAAAUCUGGUGUCUGCCUCUCCCUGUGUCCUGCAGCAUCUUCCCUGCUGACAUCCAUGGUUAAUGGACAGGUACAGGUUGGCCCUGGAACCAUUUAUCACAGCAGAGGGCCCAACUCUCCAGUCUUUUUCUUUCCUGGGAUCUGACAGAACCUGAAUUUAAUUUGCCCUGUGAUCCCAGCUUAAGUCCCCCUACACAAAAAAAUCAUUUACUGCUUUAAACUCUUUAAGCAUGGCCCUCAGUAGGCCUUAAGAACAAGGAAUACCCAUUAAAAUUGUUUAUCAUUAUCUGAACUGGGCAUGAGGGGAGCAGGAGUUGGGUUCAGCAGUUAUUGGGAUUAAAGAGAACCAGGAGACCACUUUUAAGGAAAAUAGCAGCAACAAACACGUUGUGAGUGAGCAGAAAACACAAUCAAAGAGGGACCAGCUUACAAAAAUGAGGCUAAAUAUCAUUGGUAUUUAGCAUUAAUCUUUUUGUCUUUGCCUUUGUCUUGCUAUUCAUCCUCCCAAAUCUCAUUUCUGGUGGGACUGGACAUCCCAGAGGGUUUGGUUUAAAACCAGUUCAGGUUAAUUCUGCUGAAUGGACAUGGGUGAGACUAGAACAUAUAGCUCAUAACAUAAUGUCACUCUAUUCAUGGUAGAAACCAAACUGAAGUUCAGUUUGUUCCAAAAAGCACCAUUUCUAAGGCAGAAGAGCAGACAAAUCAAUGACUGAGAGGAACUAGAGGUGAAAAUUUAAAAAGAGAUAUAAAUACACUUACUUUAAAACAUUUUAAUUUCAAGUCACAGGAAAACCAUUCAAUGUGUAUCCUGGGGUUUCUUUAAACAGGGAAAGAAGAUUAAAAUACUAAUCUCUGCUGAUUUCCCUGUGCAGCAGCAAAAAUGAGUGUGGCUCAAAAGACUGACCUAUGAGCAAAGAUUAAGAGCAGCUAAAUUUGUAUAGCUUGGCUAAGCAGCAACCAGAAGGGACACACUGGCAGAGAGCAAAACCAGAAAAAAAUGGAGUAUUAUUUGGAAAGACAACAGAGUCAGGGGAUGAAAACUAAAGAAAGAUCAGGCAGGAUGGUAAAGUCUCUAAGACUGGUCUGUAUUUUAAGGAAUGCUCCAAGCACACAAGUACAAGGAUGGACUAGACACUGGUGUGAGGGACCAGUGACUUUAAGCAUUUCUAUUUCCAAAGAAAAUCACCUCUAGAAAAGGGACAGCUUAGCUCAUGCUAUAAAUCAUUUCUUCUCAAGUUCAGCACCCAGCAGCCACAAAUCAGUUCUUAAAAUCUUGAGUGAAAAAUAAACCACAAGAAACAAUCCUGUGCUCCAAGGGAAUGGACAAGCUAAUCUAAUACAUCUUUGUCAUCUGUGGUUUCCAUGACAGUUGCAUAAUCAGACAUUUAUGUAAGUAGAGGUUUCCUCCUUAAAUAGCAGUCUAUGAUCUCAUCUGCACCUACAGUAUAACCCAUUUGAAAUAAAAUUAUGUGCCAGUUAUGUGUACAACUAAUUUUUUAAUGCUUCUCUCUUAUUUUUAUUUAUUUAUGGUGGCAAAUCAGUAGUGCUCACACAUGACUAACUCUUCUUGUUGUGGUCUUCUUGUGGGCCAGAAAUAAUCACAGUCCCCAGGUCCAGUUAAUGGCUGGGCUCACACUUGCUCAGCAAUUCAGAGUGAAAGUGAUGGUGUAUCCAUAAACC